rnacentral:rRNA from 1 species
UCAAGCAAGAAAGAGCACAAGGAGAAUGCCUUGGCACUAGGAGCCGAUGAAAGACGUGGUAAGCUGCGAAAAGCUUCGGGGAGGCGCAAACAGCCAUCGAUCCGGAGAUAUCUGAAUGGGGAAACCUACUUGAGCAAACCUCAAGUAUCCAUGCGUGAAUCCAUAGCGUAUGGAAGGGAACGCUGUGAACUGAAACAUCUAAGUAGCAGUAGGAGGAGAAAGAAAACUCGAUUUCCUAAGUAGCGGCGAGCGAACGGGAAAGAGGCCAAACCGAAGGACCUGGUUCUUCGGGGUUGCGGACUGCAAUUAGCAUUGCCGAGAGAUAGACGAAUGGUUUUGGGAAAGCCAGCCGUAGACGGUGAAAGCCCGGUAGACGAAAUCUUGAAGCAGCGAGCAGGAUCCAGAGUACCACGAGACACGAGAAACCUUGUGGGAAGCCGGGGGGACCACCCCCCAAGCCUAAAUACUCCCUAGUGACCGAUAGUGAAGCAGUACUGUGAAGGAAAGGUGAAAAGGACCCCGGGAGGGGAGUGAAAGAGAACCUGAAACCUUGUGCUUACAAACAGUCAAAGGCCUACGGGCUGAUGGCGUACUUUUUGUAGAACGGUCCGGCGAGUUACUAAUGCCAGCGAGGUUAAGUGGUCAGAAGCCACGGAGCCGAAGGGAAACCAAGUCUGAAUAGGGCGUAGAGUUGGUAUUAGUAGACCCGAAACCGGGUGACCUAUCCAUGUCCAGGUUGAAGGAACCGUAAAAGGUUUUGGAGGACCGAACACACAUGUGUUGAAAAACGUGGUGAUGAGGUGUGGAUAGCGGAGAAAUUCCAAUCGAACUCGGAGAUAGCUGGUUCUCCUCGAAAUAGCUUUAGGGCUAGCCUCGAGCUGGAGUCUAACGGAGGUAAAGCACUGAACUGACGCGGGGCCCAAAAAGGUUACCAACUCAUAUCAAACUAAGAAUGCCGUCAAGAUACCCUCGGGAGUCAGUCUGCGUGAGAUAAGUCGCGUGGACAAAAGGGAAAGAGCCCAGACCGACAGCUAAGGUCCCAAAGUACGUGUUAAGUGGAAAAGGAUGUGGGAUUUCAUAGACAACUAGGAUGUUGGCUUAGAAGCAGCCAUACAUUUAAAGAGUGCGUAAUAGCUCACUAGUCGAGAAAACCUGCGCCGAAAAUGUAACGGGGCUAAAACACGACACCGAAGCUACGGAUUUCCUACUAGGUAGGAAGUGGUAGAGGAGCAUCCUGCAAGGACGAAGCCAAAGUGAGAGCGAUGGUGGACGAAACAGGAGAGAGAAUGCCGGAAUGAGUAGCGAGAUACAUGUGAGAAACAUGUAGGCCGAAUAUCUAAGGAUUCCUGGGUAAAGCUAAUCUUCCCAGGGUUAGUCGGGGCCUAAGGCGAGGACGAGAGUCGUAGUCGAUGGAUAACAGGUUGAUAUUCCUGUACUACACAUAAUCAGAACUGUGGGGACGCAGGAGGAUAGGGAAACCGGGGAAUGGAAAGACCCGGUCAAGCGCAAAGCUGUGGGAGAUAGGCAAAUCCGUCUCUUGUAAGUGAAGCGUGAUGAGGACUGAAAAAAAGUAAGGAAGUUUCCGAAUCCACACUGCCGAGAAAAGCCGCUAUUGCGUUAUGUGUACCCGUACCGUAAACCGACACAGGUAGAUGAGGAGAAAAUCCACAGGCCGACGGGAGAAGUGUUGUUAAGGAACUCGGCAAAAUGACCCCGUAACUUCGGGAUAAGGGGAGCCUCGGAAGAGGCCGCAGAAAAGAGGCACAAGCAACUGUUUAGCAAAAACAUAGGUCUAUGCGAAACCGUAAGGUGAAGUAUAUGGGCUGACGCCUGCCCGGUGCUGGAAGGUUAAAAGGAGAGGUCAGCGCAAGCGAAGCUUUGAAUUCAAGCCCCAGUAAACGGCGGCCGUAACUAUAACGGUCCUAAGGUAGCGAAAUUCCUUGUCAGGUAAGUUCUGACCCGCACGAAAGG